GCCGGGCGUGGUGGUGCACGCCUGUAAUCCCAGCUACUCGGGAGGCUGAGGCACAAGAAUCGUUUGAACCCAGGAGGCAGAGGUUGCAGUGAGCCGAGAUUGUGCCACUGCACUCUAGCCUGGGUGACAAAGCGAGACUCUGUCUCAA
rnacentral:SRP_RNA from 1 species